AUACGGAGGAUCCGAGCGUUAUCCGGAUUUAUUGGGUUUAAAGGGUGCGCAGGCGGCCAUUUAAGUCAGCGGUUAAAUCGUGGGGCUCAACCCCAUUCUGCCGUUGAUACUGGGUGGCUUGAUUGCGGUCGAGGUUGGCGGACUUCGUUGUGUAGCGGUGAAAUGCAUAGAUAUGACGAAGAACACCGAUUGCGUAGGCAGCUGACCAGAUCGCAAAUGACGCUCAUGCACGAAAGUGCGGGGAUCGAACAGGAUUAGAUACCCUGGUAGUCCGCACAGUAAACGAUGAAUACUUGUUUUCGGCGAUAUAAUGUCGGAGGCAAAGCGAAAGCGAUAAGUAUUCCACCUGGGGAGUACGCCGGCAACGGUGAAACUCAAAUGAAUUGACGGGG
rnacentral:rRNA from 1 species